CGCGCAGGCGGUCGAUCAAGUCGAGUGUGAAACGCCCCCGGCUCAACUGGGGAGGGUCAUUCGAUACUGAUCGACUCGAAGGCAGGAGAGGGUAGUGGAAUUCCCGGUGUAGUGGUGAAAUGCGUAGAUAUCGGGAGGAACACCAGUGGCGAAGGCGACUACCUGGCCUGUUCUUGACGCUGAGGCGCGAAAGCUAGGGGAGCAAACG
rnacentral:rRNA from 1 species